CGACAGAUAUUCGUGAAAGGCGUAUUUAAAGCCCUGGCUUCAGUCGAGAGCCGUAAGCAACAAAAACAAAGCUGCAGCGGAGCGGAGCGACAGUUCGAGCCCUCAGAGGACGCAGACACGGAGCCAGGGGCUGACACGACCCGGCGAGGUACAACUGCAGAGCUUCAGAUCACAGCCUGGACCAAAGAGCGACGUCUCAGCGACAUUUAUGAAGCUUUCGGAGUCUAUUGAUUGAUCAGCCAAUCGAUGGGGAUUUUCACAGGAGCUCCGCCUACCAUCGCCACCUGCCCUCCUCCCCCCGCCCGCCGCGACCUGUUGCUCGCCCCCACCUACACGAUCAUCCAGCCCUCCAUCCAGCCUUCUAUACACAAAAUGACUCUGGAACUCACUGAGUGGUCUUCUAUAUGGAUUUUUACAGCUUGUAAUAGACAGUAAGAAGGAAAAACUAACCUCAAUGACAAAAAAGCCAUAAAACCCCAUUCACACACACACAAACACACACACACACAUACCAAAAAACCAAAUACAUUGGAAGGAGUUCUCCAGGCUUCAUCACAAACAUCCGACACAUACAAAAAGGAGCAAAUGCACAGUUGCUCUUGGAAUGUACCGCUCACUCUUCCUCUGAAAAUCAACAUCUUACCUAAUAUUUUUUUGAGAUUUUCUACAAGCCA